AUAGCCACUUAACUCUUAUUUUCACUGAUCACACCUUCAAAAAUAUAUAGUUUCGUAAUUUAAUAGAUGGCUAGAACAAUUAUUAAGACAUUAGGUCAUCUCCAUUGGUCAUCUCCAUUGGUCACAUACUUUAAAAGUUUCUCAAAAAAAAAAUAUAAUAAUAUUUUAUUAUGAUUUAGUUUCUGUGCAAUUAUAAAUACACACAUAUACACAUAAUCUCUCAAUCAUUACUCUAAAAUUUCUCUGCAAAGAAACUAUUCUCAAUCUCUCUCCUAUCUCUCUUCUAUUUUAUUAUUAUUUUAUAUUUUUUAGUUAAUGAGAAACUAUGUGAGAGACUACUGAUGGAGAUGGUUUUAGAUGAUAAGUAGAUGGUCAAGAUAAUACAUCCCAGUCCUUUUUUAUUUAUUUGUUGAAGUAAUUUAGAUAUUCAAUUGAUAAUUUGGAUGUCUCUAUAAGAAACAAAAAUUUACCUAGAAAUGACAUGCCCUAAAAUGUUUCAAAUUACGUAAAUUAUCUGUAUGAGAGAUCGU
rnacentral:sRNA from 1 species